rnacentral:rRNA from 1 species
UACAGAGGUCUCAAGCGUUGUUCGGAUUCAUUGGGCGUAAAGGGUGCGUAGGUGGUUGCGUAAGUAACGUGUGAAAUCCCCCGGCUUACCCGGGGAAUUGCGCGUUAUACUGCGUAACUUGAGGACUGUAGGGGAAUGGGGAACUCCAGGUGUAGCGGUGAAAUGCGCAGAUAUCUGGGGGAAGGCCGGCGGCGAAGGCGCCAUCUGGGCAGUUCCUGACACUGAGGCACGGAAAGCGUGGGGAGCAAACAGG